UAGGGCUAAUACCGGAUACGCCCUUUUGGGGAAAGGUUUACUGCCGGAAGAUCGGCCCGCGUCUGAUUAGCUAGUUGGUGGGGUAACGGCCUACCAAGGCGACGAUCAGUAGCUGGUCUGAGAGGAUGAUCAGCCACACUGGGACUGAGACACGGCCCAGACUCCUACGGGAGGCAGCAGUGGGGAAUAUUGGACAAUGGGCGCAAGCCUGAUCCAGCCAUGCCGCGUGAGUGAUGAAGGCCUUAGGGUUGUAAAGCUCUUUUAUCCGGGACGAUAAUGACGGUACCGGAGGAAUAAGCCCCGGCUAACUUCGUGCCAGCAGCCGCGGUAAUACGAAGGGGGCUAGCGUUGCUCGGAAUCACUGNGCGUAAAGGGCGCGUANGCGGCGUUUUAAGUCGGGGGUGAAAGCCUGUGGCUCAACCACAGAAUGNNNNUCGAUACUGGGACGCUUGAGUAUGGUAGAGGUUGGUGGAACUGCGAGUGNAGAGGUGAAAUUCGUANANNNUCGCAAGAACNCCGGUGGCGANNNGGCCAACUGGNCCAUUNCUGACGCUGA
rnacentral:rRNA from 1 species